rnacentral:rRNA from 1 species
UGGGGAAUUGUUCGCAAUGGGCGCAAGCCUGACGACGCAACGCCGCGUGGAGGAUGAAGAUCUUCGGGUCGUAAACUCCUGUCGAGCGGGAAGAACACUUUUCGGGCGAAUAUCCCGGAAGGCUGACGGUACCGCUAAAGGAAGCCCCGGCUAACUCCGUGCCAGCAGCCGCGGUAAUACGGGGGGGGCAAGCGUUGUUCGGAAUUACUGGGCGUAAAGGGCUCGUAGGCGGCCAACUAAGUCAGACGUGAAAUCCCCAGGCUCAACCUGGGAACUGCGUCUGAUACUGGAUGGCUUGAAUCCGGGAGAGGGAUGCAGAAUUCCAGGUGUAGCGGUGAAAUGCGUAGAUAUCUGGAGGAAUACCGGUGGCGAAGGCGGCAUCCUGGACCGGCAUUAACGCUGAGGAGCGAAAGCUAGGGGAGCAAACGGGAUUAGAUACCCUGGUAGUCCACGCCCUAAACGAUGACGACUGGAUGUCGGAGGGGUCUGCCUUUCGGUGUCGUAGCUAACGCGUUAAGUCGUCCGCCUGGGGAGUACGGCCGCAAGGUUGC